UCUGAGAGGAAGAGUUUGUGUGAGAGGAGGUCGAGGUGCUCAGCGAAGACAAAGAACAGUAAUAUCUGAUGAAACCAGAGCUACUGUGAUUGACCAUGUUCUUGUCCAUGGUAUGAGCAUGAGGGAAGCUGGACAAAGGGUACAACCAAACAUCAGUAGAUUCACUGUGUCCACCAUAAUCCGAAGAUUUAGAGAAGAGAACAGAAUUGAAAAACUGCGGGGUGGGAGGACAGGACAUACCUGUCAAGUUUUGGAUUUGAAAAUAAGGGAAAUUUUCCGGUGCCCACCUCGAGCAGUCCCACCACCCCAACCAAGCUCCAGUAUCCCUUACAUUUUAAGACGGGUGUACAAGAAAGCUGUCAAGUUUACAUGGACUUUCCGUUUGUUGUUUCCCAUUCACAUUCCCCAGCACUCAUUCCCCUCAUCCGCUCACAAUCUCCUCAAGUACUGAUUGCACACACCUGCACUUCAUCACACCACAUCAUCAGAUUCACACCUGCAUCUCAUCAAUGUCCACCUACUUAAGCAGCACAGACACACUCACUCUUUAUCGGGUCUUACAUACAUGUCUUCAUGACUCUCUGACUGACACGCUAUUCCAGCUCAAUCCAAGUUUGCCGUACCUGUGCUUUGUCUCCUGUUGUCUGCCGCUGAUCUACACCUGCCUGCUCAGCUACAAGAUUCCUGUCUGUUGCUUCCUGUUCCUUGUUUGACUCUUUGUUAAUUAAAGAUCUACUCAUCACUUCA